rnacentral:rRNA from 1 species
AUGCUUCAUGCUAGUGAGACUUCUUCAUGCCUUGACUUACCUAUUUAUGAUGAAUAUGAUGAUGAGCAUGUUGAGUUGCCUAGUUAUGAUGCUAUGCUUCAUAGGAUAUCAUGUGAAAAUUCUUUUGGUCAGGUCAUGUUUGACAAUCCAUUGAACUUGUCAUAUGCCAUGAGUGAGAUCUCCCAUAUUGCCUCAUUUCAAUCUAAACAUAGUAACUAUGCAUGCCCCAUUAAAAUAAAUCCUAUUUGCACUUAUGGCAUAGAUGACGAGAUGAUGGUUAUUGGCUUUUGCUUCUCUUGUGAUGAUAUUGCCAUGCUUCCUUUACAUGAUUUGCGCAAUUCAUCUACUAUGCCAUGCCAUGAUCACAUUGAACCAAAUAUGCAUUGUUUUGGAUGUUGUCAAUAUUCUCCACGUGAUGUUUCUACUCAUGCUCAUGAGGAGACCCCCAUAGUUUCCUCAUACAUAUUAGGAGAUCUUGAUACAUUUCAUACCUUGCAUGAUUCCCAUGAUAGUGUACACCAUAUGCAUUCCAUGAAUAACAAUGCUCUAGAUAUUUCUCAUGAUGCAUUACACACUUUGAGUCUCCAUUAUGUCAUACAUAACAACAAACCUAUCAUGAUGGAUGACAUGUUUCUAUAUCACACAUCUCAUUUAUUUGAGCAUUGGAUAUUUAGUGCUAACCAACACAAGCACGUGCGCAUCAUGAUGGAUGAUGUGCACAUAUACCACACACACAAUUUUUCCUUUGUCCUUGUUUUGUGUAGGUACUCAUGUAUACUCGUCAACCUCUCAACCCCAAGAGUUGACGAAACGAGCUCUUGA